AUGGUGGAUGCUGAUGAGAUGCCCCAACCGAUCUAUGCCGAGAAUAAACCAUGUGCGGAAAUCGAGUCGCGGCGCCAUUCCCCCACUUUGAUGCUGGCCGUGGUAACCAAGGUGCUCGAUGACGACGACCUCCUCGCCGAGAUCCUCCUCCGCGUCGUGUUCCCCACCACCCUCGUCCGUGCCGCCCUCGUCUGCAAGCGUUGGUACCACCACGCCUCUGACCGCCGGUUCCUCCGCCGGUUCCGCAAGCUCCACCCGCCCUGCCUCCUCGGCUUCUAUGUUGUUUUCAAGGGUGCACGCUUCAUACCGAUGCAGCCUCAACCACCCGAGCUCGCUGCCGUCGUCCGCCAUGUUGCAGGCUACAGGUUUGGCAACUUGAUUGACUUGAAGGACUGCCGGAAUGGCAUUGUCUUGACCAGGGACCGGAAACAAGGAGUAUUGACAUAUAAAGUCCCGUUGUGCCCUGAGAGAGGCAUGCCCACUGUCCCACCACUCCCACGCACCCAGGGCGGCAGCAUUUUCUAUUUCGGUGAAAUCCUCUCCAAAGAAGAAGGCGAUGGCCUGUCCUGUUUUUAUAUGGUAGUGGAGGUUUCCAAGGAGACAAAAGAGGUCACGGUGAGCGUAUAUAUGCUGCAAGAUGGUGUCUGGUGCAUGGUUACAUCAUCCAAAAACCAGCUGCAUUGGCCGCUGCCAAGGCCAAACCCUGUUCUUGUUGACAAUAAAAUCUAUAUGGGAUCUGCCCGUGGCAACAACAUUCUUGUCUUGGAUUUGAGUGCCUCAACUUUCUCCGUGAUUCACCUCCCUCAAGGAGUGGAGUAUGCAUCUUCAGAAAUCAAGUUGUCACGUACCGAUGAUGCUUCCGGUGUAUAUCUCAUCCAUUUGCGUCCCAUGGAGUUUCAACUUUGCGUAUGGCUCCACAAGGAAGACAACUGGCUGCUGGUGGAUACCAUGUAUUUGCAUGAGAUGUGUGCCAUUUUGGGGAAGACAGAUCGCCGGUAUGUGCAUAUAAGGCAGGUGGGAGACAAUGAUCAGUUUGUACUUUUACAGACUUCUCAAUACAUAUUCUACUUGGAUAUCAAGUGCAGAACACUGCAUAAAGUGGAUGAGAUGACAGUCGAUGAACAAUGUUAUGCUGACAUCCAUCCUUUUAUGAUGAUCUGGCCUCCCAUAUUCCCUGCCCUCAAGGACGAUCCUGCAAGGAAUGCCAUAUGA
rnacentral:rRNA from 1 species